rnacentral:rRNA from 1 species
AUGAUUGCCAGCUUCCCGGGACGCUACCUCGGACUUCCAUUGCACUAUCGUCGGCUCCGAAGGGUUGACCUCCAACCUUUCAUCGACAAGAUUGCGGGUAGACUGUCGGGUUGGAACGGAAAGCUACUAAAUAAGCCCGGCAAGGUCGCUCUGGCUCAAUCAGUUCUGACGGCUAUGGCGACUUUCCACAUCUCCGCUCUUAGCCUGCCGAAAUGGAUCCUGGGAAAGGUUGAGAAGAUCAUUCGCAGGUUUCUAUGGCAGAAAGAGGACGAAACGCAAACUUCUGGAGGGCACUCCCUCGUUAAUUGGAAGACCGACUGUCGUCCAAGGAGGUUGGGCGGCCUGGGAAUCGCGGACCAUGAGCGUCUUGGCCGCGCCCUCCGCCUUCGCUGGCCCUGGUUACAAUGGACGGACCCGGAGAGGCCAUGGGUGGGCUCUGACCUGCCAUGCGACCAGGCUGAUAUGAACCAUUUUCGCGCAAGCACAACCAUAACUUUGGGAGAUGGCCGCAAGGCACUUUUCUGGCAUGACAACUAG